CCCUUAGAUGUUCUGGGCCGCACGCGCGCUACACUGAUGCAUUCAACGAGUCCAAAACCUGCUCUGAUAGGGGUGGGUAAUCUUUUGAAUGUGCAUCGUGAUUGGGAUAGAUGAUUGCAAUUUUUCAUCUUCAACGAGGAAUGCCUAGUAAACGCAAGUCAUCAGCUUGCAUUGAUUACGUCCCUGCCCUUUGUACACACCGCCCGUCGCUCCUACCGAUUGAAUGAUCCGAUGAAUAUCAUGGAUUGAGGAUUAUAGCAGGUUCGCCUGUCUUGAUCUUCGAGAAGUGAAGUAAAUCUUAUCAUUUAGAGGAAGGAGAAGUCGUAACA
rnacentral:rRNA from 1 species